GUUCAUGGAACACCUAUUCAGGCCUUGCAAAACACCAGGGUUCAGCGGAACACAGUUUGGGAAACACUACCCUUUAGCUGCUUAGCCUAGAAACAAAUGGACACCUUAUAAAUACAUUAUGUGACCCAAACCCUUUUUUGAAUUAUGUUGUUGAUUAAAUCAAAACCCAGAAUAGUCUCAACCAUCAAGGAACCUUCAGUCAGAAGUGGAUGCAAACAAUCACUUCAUCAUUUCUGAUUACUGAGUGCAAGUCUUUUUAAAAGCCAUUUGGUUUGAUGGGGACAGAGGCUUGCUCCCAGGGGCAGACUGGGUGUCAAAACCGGCCCAGGCAUUUUCACGCAAUCCGACCUACAAAUAGUGUGUCAUAUGAUGGGCGUCCAAUCAUACACGUCCUCAGAAGCAUUGUGUAAAUUUUAAUAAUGUAUCGAAAGUAGAAUCCAGCAACCAUUGGCAAAAAAACAAACCCCAUUUGAG
rnacentral:sRNA from 1 species